ensembl:snoRNA Gm25854 predicted gene, 25854
UGAAUCAUUUGGCUAGUGGCAUUUGAACCAUCCAUGAUGACUAUACGUCUGAAACGCCAAGAUUCAA